rnacentral:lncRNA from 1 species
UUGAAACCCUAUGCUUGUGUGAAUGUGACUUCGGACUAUGAUAAUAGUAAACAAAGGUGACAUUGACAAUAGAGACAAGAUUGGCAAUGAGAUAUGGUUUGUUAAACAUGGUUUAAACCAUAGUGACAUUAUGGCAAAAGUAGCCUAGAGAGUGGCAAAUAUGAUAAGGUAGAAACUUAUCAUUGAUAUAGUGGCAUCGUGGCUAUGGCUAUGCGUCCUCAAGUUGAGGAUUGGAUCGAUACUCACAUUGAGUCUUGGCUUGAGGGAGGUAGCUCCCCCUCAAGCGAUGCGCUCCGGAGUUGGUCACCACUGGGCGAGGUAAAGUCCCCCC